rnacentral:rRNA from 1 species
CAGCCGCCGCGGGAAUACGAAGGGGGCUAGCGUUGUUCGGAAUUACUGGGCGUAAAGCGCACGCAGGCGGCUCGAUAAAUUAGAAGUGAAAGCCUUGGGCUUAACCUGAGAAUUGCUUUUAAGACUGUCGAGCUAGAAUCCAGAAGAGGGUAGUGGAAUUCCGAGUGUAGAGGUGAAAUUCGUAGAUAUUCGGAAGAACACCAGUGGCGAAGGCGACUACCUGGUCUGGCAUUGACGCUCAUGUGCGAAAGCGUGGGGAGCAAACAGGAUUAGAUACCCCAGUAGUCCCUGUCUCUUAUAC